rnacentral:tRNA from 1 species
GGGCCGGUAGCUCAAUGGCAGAGCAAGUCGCUCAUAACGACAGGGUUACAGGUUCGAAUCCUGUCCGGCCCACCA